rnacentral:rRNA from 1 species
GAUGAACGCUGGCGGUAUGCCUUACACAUGCAAGUCGUACGAGAGUUUUUAACUCAAGUGGCGGACGGGUGAGUAACACGUAAGAAUUUGCCUUUAGGAGGGGGACAACAACUGGAAACGGUUGCUAAUACCCCAUAUGCUUUCGAGUGAAAUGGAUUUAUUUCCGCCUAGAGAGAAGCUUGCGGCUGAUUAGCUUGUUGGUGAGGUAAUGGCUCACCAAGGCGACGAUCAGUAUCUGGUUUGAGAGGAUGAUCAGACACACUGGAACUGAGACACGGUCCAGACUCCUACGGGAGGCAGCAGUGGGGAAUUUUCCGCAAUGGGCGAAAGCCUGACGGAGCAAUACCGCGUGAGGGAUGACGGCCUAUGGGUUGUAAACCUCUUUUUUCAGGGAGGAAUCAAU